GAUGAACGCUGGCGGCGUGCCUAAUACAUGCAAGUCGAGCGAACAGACGAGGAGCUUGCUCCUCUGACGUUAGCGGCGGACGGGUGAGUAACACGUGGAUAACCUACCUAUAAGACUGGGAUAACUUCGGGAAACCGGAGCUAAUACCGGAUAAUAUAUUGAACCGCAUGGUUCAAUAGUGAAAGACGGUUUUGCUGUCACUUAUAGAUGGAUCCGCGCCGCAUUAGCUAUUUGGUAAGGUAACGGCUUACAAAGGCAACGAUGCGUAGCCGACCUGAGAGGGUGCUAGGCCACACUGGAACUGAGACACGGUCCAGACUCCUACGGGAGGAAGCAGUAGGGAAUCUUCGGCAAUGGGCGAAAGCCUGACGGAGCAACGCCGCGUGAGUGAUGAAGGUCUUCGGAUCGUAAAACUCUGUUAUUAGGGACGAACAAAUGUGUAAGUAACUAUGCACGUCUUGACGGUACCUAAUCAGAAAGCCACGGCUAACUACGUG
rnacentral:rRNA from 1 species